CAGCUGGCUCGGUUUCAGUGUUACUGCCGGUACUGCUCCACAAGAGCAACGUUACACUGUUUGAUCAGUCAGUGAGACAAUGACAGUGGAUAAUGACCUUAAUCGAUCUUUAAUAUUCUCACACAGCGAGGAAACAACAAACAAACAAACAAACAAACAAACAAACAGCAGCCAUUGAACUACCAGCAGCUUCAUUGUCACUGUGUUUGUCUUUGUUGUUCGAGAGGCUGUUCGCUUGUCGCUUUCACUGAAUGUUCAUCAACAGGUUCAAGUAUCCGGAGCGACCGCGAACUUUCCGUCAUGGCGUCAGUUCGCCUGAGCAGCCCGGUGGAGAGUCUGUUCCCUGGUGGAGAGUCAUUGUGGACUAGAGAGGGAAUACCGGGAAUAUCUGCUUCAUGGAGACGUUUGGAGGACGAGAGGAAGAAGAAAAGAGGACAUAAGACGAAGAACUGGAGUUUGUUGUGAGUUAGAAGGAGGACUGCUGCUGAGGCUCUGUGGGAACUAUGGAAGAGUCUUCAGGUUGAAGGCUGAUGUCCAGAGUUACAGGAGGACUGCUGUUGACACGGCCUGCAGGAAACACAGAAGAGUCUUCAGAUAUUGGAGAGGUCCGUGGGGUGAAAUCCAACCUCAAAAUUAAGGAAAUUCUGGACCCUCAGGCUCCUGUAACCCAAAUCCCAUCGCUCCCAACCAGAACCCCGGACACGCUGCUGUAACCGUCUUCCACUGCGAUGCUGUGGUUCUGCUUCCUGGAUCACCCCUCCCCUCCACAAUGAAGUCUAAGAAGACUUCAUUGUGGAGGGGAGGGGUGAUCCACAAAGACGACUUCUUUGGGAAGAUGGGUGUUAUGCAUGUUAAUGUUGAAUAAAAUUAUUUUAAAAUCCAUAACCCCCUGCAUUUGUCUCUCUGGAAACCCGGGAGGGGACACGGCCCCCUCCUCUCCCUCUGCAGCGGGGUGACACUCCAGGAACCUGGCAUCCGGCGCCGAGCGAGCCUUGAACCAGACACCUCUGCAUUCUGGCCACUCCCAUGCACACUGCGCCACCAAGCUCCCUUCAUACUAUAACUCCUUCUCCGGGCGCUUUUAUCAUUUUACUUUGGCUGCUGGACCACAAAAUUCACUCAGCCUCAUAAGAGAAUCGAACACACAACCUCUGGUCUCCUGAUCACUCUUCUAACACUCUGCACUAUUUGAUAUAAGACAGUCUGGGUUUCUAACAGCUUUUGACUUGUUUCUACAAACAUCUGACUUCAUAAUUCAGAGUUGAGCAAGGCUCGAACCCCACUUCCAAUCAGACAAUCAUCUGCUUAUUCACAGACAGUACCACUGACAGUACAGUCUGUGUCAGUUGUUACUUUUCUUGAUCUCUUUGAGGAGAGAACACACAAAAUGUAACCUUGGAUCAUCCUUUUGCAGCUCCUUAUCUCACUGAGCUAUACCUCAGGCUGGUAAUUUGCUGCUUUGUAGUUGUAUUUGUUGUUCACAUCACUGAGGAGAAACCUUCAAAAGUCUCACAACACAUGUGUUUGGAUUUGAACCCUCAACCUCUGGUAUCAACCACAUCAGCUGCUUAUCUUCCUGAGCUAUUCCUGCUGAGGCUUUUAACUUUUCUCCUGCAAAUUUAUGGACGUCACAGGUAUUAGUGCUUUAAAAAAAAUCCAUCAAUAAUAGCUCAGUGAGAUAAUCUGCUGAUGUUUUUCAGUUUUCCCUUCAGCAACAUGAACAAUAAAUACAACAACAACGAACCAGUGACUUGUAAUCCUCAGGUGUAACUCGCUGAGAUAAGGUGCUGCUACCUGAUGAUCCUAGCUGUGUACCUGUUAACUAGUUUGUUUGUUUGUUUGUGUUUGGCUGACCUUAUAAAAGUCACAACGAA